GGACAGUGUCAGCACUCUAGCUGGAGAAGUAGAUAAACCUCAGAAAAGAGUAUUGAAGAACAAAGUCCAAUCUUUCUUCACACCUUUUUGGCCUAAACUGAGCCAUCUAUGGGGAUGAAUCUUGGGGAUUGCAAUGAGAGACAUGAUUAUGAAAGGAGAAAGAGAAACUAUACCAAGCACAACAGCAACAUAGCCAACUAUGGUUAAUCCAGUAUAGUUGACAAAAGAUAGAAUAAGUGUCGAAAUCAAAAUGGCAAUCUUUCGAGGCCAACCUGAAUCCAAUACAGGAAGUACCUUUUUCAUAUAAUC
rnacentral:misc_RNA from 1 species